AACUGAUACUACCUGCGGGAACCUGCGGAAGGAUCAUUACAUGAUUUGAGGGGGCUCACGUCCCCUCAUCCAACCCACAAACCCCGAGGAACUUUUAUGUCGAGUGGUUCGGCGCUCUCUUUGAGAGCCGCCCCUCAAACGCAUCGCAGGCUUUUCGUGAAGGUCUGAUGUGUCACAUCGUAAGUAUUAAAACUUUCAACAACGGAUCUCU
rnacentral:misc_RNA from 1 species